rnacentral:rRNA from 1 species
UACGUAGGUGGCAAGCGUUGUCCGGAUUUACUGGGCGUAAAGAGCGCGCAGGCGGUCGUUCAAGUCGCGUGUGAAAAGCCCCCGGCUCAACUGGGGAGGUCACGCGGAUACUGAUCGACUCGAAGGCAGGAGAGGGUAGUGGAAUUCCCGGUGUAGUGGUGAAAUGCGUAGAUAUCGGGAGGAACACCAGUGGCGAAGGCGAA